AUCGAGUCCCACAUAGAAACAAAGUUGAAUCAGGACUCAAAUCAGCCUUUAAAUUAUCCGAUCAAGAUGCGUAAGCCGCCAGCCCUUCGAUCGCACUCCCACACCAAAAUUACAUCCGUAGACUGGCCGUAGACUGUGAGAAAUGCAUGAAACCGCCAUCGGAUCCAUCGUGGACCAUGAGAAAUUAGUAAAAAAUGGCCUGCCAGUCCACGCAACACACCCAUGGAC
rnacentral:lncRNA from 1 species